rnacentral:rRNA from 1 species
AGCGAACGCUGGCGGCAGGCCUAACACAUGCAAGUCGAACGAAGUCUUCGGACUUAGUGGCGGACGGGUGAGUAACACGUGGGAACGUACCUUUUGGUUCGGAACAACUCAGGGAAACUUGAGCUAAUACCGGAUGAGCCCUUAGGGGGAAAGAUUUAUCGCCGAAAGAGCGGCCCGCGUUAGAUUAGCUAGUUGGUGAGGUAAAGGCUCACCAAGGCUACGAUCUAUAGCUGGUCUGAGAGGAUGAUCAGCCACACUGGGACUGAGACACGGCCCAGACUCCUACGGGAGGUAGGAGUGGGGAAUCUUGCGCAAUGGGCGAAAGCCUGACGCAGCCAUGCCGCGUGAAUGAUGAAGGUCUUAGGAUUGUAAAAUUCUUUUACCAGGGACGAUAAUGACGGUACCUGGAGAAAAAGCCCCGGCUAACUUCGUGCCAGCCGCCGCAGUAACAC